GGGGGCGCAUGCGCAGCCCAUGGUAGUGAUGGAGGAGAGAAGAUGGCGGAAGCGGAGUUUAAGGACCACAGUACAGCUAUGGAUAGUGAACCAAACCCUGGAACAUCUUCGGUAUCGACAACAACCAGUAGCACUACCACGACCACCAUCACCACUUCCUCCUCUCGAAUGCAGCAACCACAGAUCUCUGUCUAUAGUGGCUCAGACCGACAUGCUGUACAGGUAAUUCAGCAGGCAUUGCACCGCCCUCCCAGCUCAGCUGCUCAGUAUCUACAGCAAAUGUAUGCCGCUCAGCAACAGCACUUAAUGCUGCACACAGCAGCUCUCCAGCAGCAGCACUUAAGCAGCUCCCAGCUUCAGAGCCUUGCUGCUGUUCAGGCAAGUUUGUCCAGUGGAAGACCACCUACAUCCCCCACAGGAAGUGUCACACAGCAGUCAAGUAUGUCCCAGACAUCUAUCAACCUCUCUACUUCUCCUACACCUGCACAGUUAAUAAGCCGUUCCCAGGCUUCCAGUUCUACCAGUGGCAGUAUUACCCAACAGACUAUGUUACUAGGGAGUACCUCCCCUACCCUAACGGCAAGCCAAGCUCAAAUGUAUCUCCGAGCUCAAAUGCUGAUUUUCACACCCGCUACCACUGUGGCUGCUGUACAGUCUGACAUUCCUGUUGUCUCGUCGUCAUCGUCAUCUUCCUGUCAGUCUGCAGCUACUCAGGUUCAGAAUUUAACAUUACGCAGCCAGAAGUUGGGUGUAUUAUCUAGCUCACAAAAUGGUCCGCCAAAAAGUACUAGUCAAACUCAGUCAUUGACAAUUUGUCAUAACAAAACAACAGUGACCAGUUCUAAAAUCAGCCAACGAGAUCCUUCUCCAGAAAGUAAUAAGAAAGGAGAAAGUCCAAGUCUGGAAUCACGAAGCACAGCUGUCACCCGGACAUCAAGUAUUCACCAGUUAAUAGCACCAGCUUCAUAUCCUCCAAUUCAGCCUCAUCCUCUAAUAAAACAUCAGCAGAUUCCUCUUCAUUCACCACCUCCCAAAGUUUCCCACCAUCAGCUGAUGCUACAGCAGCAGCAACAGCAAAUUCAGCCAAUCACACUUCAAAGUCCAACUCAAGACCCACCACCAUCCCAGCACUGUUUACCACUCCAAAACCACGGCCUGCCUCCAGCUCCCAGUAGUGCCCAGUCACAGCAUUGUUCCCCAAUUCAGAGUCAUCCCCCUCCUUUACCAGUGUCUCCUAGCCAGUCACAGUCAGCACAGCAGUCUGUAGUGGUGUCUCCUCCACCACCUCAUUCACCAAGUCAGUCUCCUACUAUAAUUAUUCAUCCACAAGCACUUAUUCAGCCACACCCACUUGUGUCAUCAGCUCUCCAGCCAGGGUCAAACUUGCAGCAGUCCACUGCUAAUCAGGUGCAACCUACAGCACAGCUGAAUCUUCCAUCCCAUCUUCCACUUCCAGCUUCCCCUGUUGUACACAUUGGCCCAGUUCAGCAGUCCACCUUGGUGUCCCCAGGUCAGCAGAUUGUGUCUCCAGCAUCACACCAGCAAUAUUCAACCCUGCAGUCCUCUCCAAUCCCAAUUGCAACCCCUCCGCAGAUGUCGACAUCUCCUCCAGCUCAGAUUCCACCACUGCCCUUGCAGUCUAUGCAAUCUUUACAAGUGCAGCCUGAAAUUCUGUCCCAGGGCCAGGUUUUGGUGCAGAAUGCUUUGGUGUCAGAAGAGGAGCUUCCAGCUGCAGAAGCUUUGGUCCAGUUGCCAUUUCAGACUCUUCCUCCUCCACAGACUGUUGCGGUAAACCUACAAGUACAACCACCAGCAUCCGUUGAUCCACCAGUGGGAAUGCAUUUGAACCAGUGUCAUCUGCACAAAGUUUUUUCUCUUAAGGUUUAUCAAGUAGAAGAUGUAUGUGAAGAAGAAAUGCCAGAGGAGUCAGAAGAAUGUGUCCGAAUGGAUAGAACUCCACCACCACCCACAUUGUCUCCAGCAGCUAUAACUGUGGGGAGAGGAGAAGAUUUGACUUCUGAGCAUCCUUUGUUAGAGCAAGUAGAAUUACCUGUUGUGGCAUCAGUCAGUGCUUCAGUAAUUAAAUCUCCAUCAGAUCCUUCACAUGUGUCUGUUCCUCCACCUCCACUCUUACUUCCAGCUGCUACCACAAGGAGUAAUAGUACAUCUAUGCCUAGUAGCAUACCCAGUGUAGAAAACAAACCUCCACAGGCUAUUGUUAAGCCACAGAUCUUGACCCAUGUUAUUGAAGGCUUUGUAAUUCAGGAGGGAUUGGAGCCAUUUCCUGUGAGUCGUUCAUCUCUGCUGAUUGAACAGCCUGUGAAGAAAAGGCCUAUUUUGGAUAAUCAGGUGAUAAAUUCCGUGUGUGUUCAGCCAGAGCUACAGAAUAAUGCAAAGCAUGCAGAUAAUUCAUCUGACACAGAGAUGGAAGACAUGAUUGCUGAAGAGGCAUUAGAAGAAAUGGACAGUGAGUUGCUCAAGUGUGAAUUCUGUGGAAAGAUGGGGUAUGCUAAUGAAUUUCUGCGGUCAAAACGAUUCUGCACUAUGUCGUGUGCCAAAAGGUACAAUGUUAGCUGUUCUAAAAAAUUUGCACUUAGUCGUUGGAAUCGUAAGCCUGAUAAUCAAAGUCUUGGGCAUCGUGGCCGUCGUCCAAGUGGCCCUGAUGGGGCAGCAAGAGAACAUAUCCUUAGGCAGCUUCCAAUUACUUAUCCAUCUGCAGAAGAAGACUUGGCUUCUCAUGAAGAUUCUGUGCCAUCUGCUAUGACAACACGCCUGCGCAGGCAGAGUGAACGGGAAAGAGAGCGUGAGCUUCGGGAUGUGAGAAUGAGGAAAAUGCCUGAGAACAGUGACUUGCUACCAGUUGCACAAACGGAGCCAUCUGUAUGGACAGUUGAUGACGUCUGGGCCUUCAUCCAUUCUUUGCCUGGCUGCCAGGAUAUUGCAGAUGAGUUCAGAGCACAGGAGAUUGAUGGACAGGCUCUUCUCUUGCUAAAAGAAGACCAUCUUAUGAGUGCAAUGAAUAUCAAGCUAGGCCCGGCCCUAAAGAUCUGUGCACGCAUCAACUCUCUGAAGGAAUCUUAACGGGAUCAUGAGGCUCUGAGAUAACAGCAGUUUUAUUCUUAAACAAACUUGUAAGGUAAAGGCUCAAAUUGGCCUACAAUAUUAUCACUUACUGUGAUGGAUAGCCAAGCACAUUGGGAUCUCUGCAUUAAAGCUGACAUUUCUUCUACAGAUAAAAUAAUUCAUUAUAUUGAUACAUUUUCAUAAUUAGCUAACAUUGGUGAAUUAAUUUUACAGGUUACACACAACAUUGAAAGACUUGUUAUAGAGGGCCAUGAUAUUUUUCAAAGUGUUUUACUAGAUAAUUUUUUUAAAGGUGAUGUUUAUCAUUAAUAUAAAAAAUCCUUUUGAAAGUAAUUUAAUGAUUUACAUUUCUCCUCUUUUGAUUCGGUUUUCUUAUACAUUUUUCUACCCUAUAAUUUUUCUAUGGGUUGUCGUGAGAGAUAUAAUUUAGGAGUGAUUUAGGAAUAAUUUUGGAGUCCAGUGACUGGAAUUGUAUGCAGUGAGAUAUCACUGUAUGUUUUAAAAAACAUGUCUUUUAGACAGUUGCUUUGUCUAUAAAAAGGAUUGCAUUCUAGCAUGAAAAAUACUGAUCUGGAAGUUAGAAGAUUUGGUUUCUUUUCCAAACUUGACCAAGAAUUUGGUGUGACUGAGGAAGUUAGUUUUCCUCUUAGUUUUUGUUCUUUUAGAGCAGUGGUUCUCAACAGAGGUCAGUUUUGUUCCCCAGGGGACAUUUGAAAAUGUCAAGGGACAUUUUGGUUGUCAUAGCUUAGGGGUUGGGCAGGGGGUUGCUGUUGGUAUCUGAAGCGUGGACAGGGAUGUCGCUAAAUAUCCUACAAUGCACAGGACAGCCCUCUACAACAGAGUUAUCUGGUCCAAAAUGUCAGUAGUGCCAAGGUUGAGAAACCGUAACAUAGGAUGGAUAAAUGUUGCUCUUUUUCACCCAGAGGGAUAUUUUGAGAAAAAAAAUUUAAAAAGGGAUGUAAUAAGGAAUACAUUGUACAACGGAAGUAUUUCAGAUAGCAUUAAUGUUCUGCUAGAGUAUUUUUCCCAGUUUUAUGCAUUCUAGAAAAAGGGGGGAAAUCUGCCUGUAAAAUGAGAACUAGCAUACUUAGAAUUUUGCCUCUCAGUAUUAAGUCAUAAUAACAAUUCUCUUUCAUAUCUCUCUGCACUGAUGAAGGCAUAAUAUGAUUAUGCCUUAUGAACCAGUGCACAGCCUUUGCUGGCAGGGCGAUACUUUGUAGUGGCUAUGUGGUUGGUGUUUGGAUUUUUCUAGUGUUGAACAAGCUGGAUCUAGCUAGAAUGCACAUUCCUUUUUCCUUGACUAAAUCUUUGUAUGCUUCCUGCAAAGCACUUAUCCAACUGAUCUCUCUUGGAUAAUUGGAUCUAAUUUUGUAUGUACACGUUUUAGGGAAAAAAGAUUUUAAAGCAAAACCUUUCAUUGAACAGUUAGUGUUCUGUUAGAAUUAUGGCACUAAAAAUUGUGGCAGGCCUGUGAACUUUAUAGUCCUGGACAUCAAAAAUGUUUUAAUCUUUUUUUUAUCUUAUCUUUACCAUACAAUGGAAAUGUUUUAAUAAUUGAAGGAACAUACACAGAUAUUUGGCAGAAGUUCAGUAAGUGAGGAAGAGUCCAUGGGUUUCAGUCAUUGUCACUGAUCUUUUAAAAAAGAUUGUGUUACGCUAGUAGAAGACUAAAGAUGUCAUUAAAGACAUCACAGAUAUUUAUCUUUUGGCUUUGUGUACAUUAGAGAAUGUUGAUUAUUUUUAUACAAAAAUACAGCGGGUAAUUUUUUUAACCUUUAGAUGCCUCUUGUUUGAAUGUAUGCUUUGUGGGAUUCUUUUGUGUAGUAAUGUUUUAAAGAAAAGACAUUUACUGAUAGUUAUGUGUAGGAUUAGAAUAUGUAAUAUAGUGUAAGGCUCAUGUUCCAGACCUACAAUAGCUUGUAGUCUAUGUCACAUAUUUCUGUAUAUCACAUUUUUAAUUAUUGGAUUACAGUUUCAAGGAAAGGUAGGUACUCUACAGUUAAUUUUCAUUUAUUAGCAGUUAAUCAUUAUGACAGAGUUGUCAUAUGCUUUGACUUUUCCCCUCAUCUUGUAAUUUCAGAACACACGUAUAGGUUAAGCAUUAGUAGGAGAUGGUCCACUGUAUGAGGGCUGAAGGGCACAAUGGAAAGUCUCCCCUGGAAUUAAAGCUUUGUCACAGAUGAUCCACAAACAAUUCAUACAGAAUUGAUUCUUUGGGGAUAGACUCCCCUGGCAAUAAUGAUUACCUCCCAUAACUAUAUUACCUAUAUAUAGCCUUUAAGGUAUUAACUUGGAACUGUGGUCCCUCUUCUGAUAUCAGUCAUUAUGUACUUACUGAAAGCCCCUGUGCGUAGCACUGUGUUCAGUAUCCGAGAAAGCUUACAAGAGGGAUUUCCAUGGAGAGCACCUUAUAAUCCUAAAUCUUAUAAUAAUCUUAAGAACAGACCAGAUCUUCUGUUGUCCCUACUCAAAACAUACCCAGAAAAUAUACUUGCUUUUUUCAAGUUAUUUUAUUUAGAAAUGGCUCACUGGCUUUUAACUAGUAGUUUUCCCAUUGAUGCAGCUGUUUCUUUCCGGGUGAUUUAACUAUCUGAAUUUCAGCUAUGUAUAAUGGAUAUAGACGAUAACACUGGGUGUCCACUUCUCUCCUGAGCUUAAAGCACAGUUUUAGUAUGAAAUAGGUGGGGAGAGUGCUGUCAUUUUCGCUUUCCUUCAUAUUACUAGUUGUUUUAGGAUUUUGAUUGAGGAGAAGGAAUGACAAGCAGAAAGGGUACAUGGGAAGUUCUUCCUACUUUUGCUACCUAAGUUUGCAUUUUCUGACUUCUUUAUACUGAUGCACUUUUCCCAUUGAGGAAGAAAAUCCCUACAAGUUUGAAAUUUUAUUUGCUUUAAGCCAUGUGUUCCUAAGAAAGUACACAGAGAGCUGGUUUAUAAAAGUUGUUUCUUACAUGAUGUGCAUUUUCAUCAAGCCUUGUGUAGGCAUGUGUCUGACACAGUUGUGCAGCUUUGAUAUAUAAUCAGUAUAAGAGUGCUGUCCCACAAGCUGUCACUUUUUAAGUGGCUGGUAAUUUUUCCAUGACGGUACUUUUAAUUUGCUGGCACAUCCUCUAAACAGACAUUUUUUAAAGUCCCAGUUUAAGGGCCAUCCCCUCAGAAUAGAGAAUGUGGAAUAGAAGGAAGGAAAUAUUAGUGAAGGAGCUUGAGAAUGGUGGAGAAGCAGACAAGAGAACUGGCACUUUGUUUAUCCCACUUCAGCGCUGAACAAACUUCUGCACUUUUGAAGUUAAUAGUCAUGUUUUACCUAGUUCCAAAUAGAAAUUAUUUUUUGUAGGUAGCCGACUUUAUUUUAAUUUUUGACAUAGUUUAUCUUCCCAUAUCCAGUGUAAUAUUAUAGUCAGACAUUUAUUCAAAUACCAGUCUUGGAUUGAAAUCUGUCCGAGUGCCCCAUAUCACUGGCUUGUUCAAUUAAAUGUUAUGAAGUCCCAUUAUUUGCAUUUGCAGGGUUUUGGUACCACCAUAGCACAAGUAUGGUAAGGAGGCAAUAUACAGAUUGAGUAUAGUCUUAGGCUAUGUUUGCAUGUGUGUAAACAGUCUUGGAAAGAAUAAACUAUUGCACAUAUAUGGGAAUGAUGCUAUCCUCAUAGCCAUAUGGAGUGGAAGAAAUCCCUGGCUGGACACACUGUUAAAACAUUUCAAAGAUAUAUUUUCCACCAGACCAGCCUGGUUAUAUUUUGUGGUUUGAAGAUCCUCACCCUUAGUGAAUGGCAGGAACUCAUGCUGCCUCUGGGCAAUGGGCGUUGAGUAUUACUGCCUAAUAGGAUGAAAGAGCCUCACUCCCCUUACCUCCUCAAGCCCCAAGGAAACAGUGUGAAAACUUUCUUCUUAGAGAGGCCUUUGCCUGAAAAUCCCUACAGAGGACUUUGUAGUAGGGUUAAUUUUAGGGAGGUAACUGGGGCAGGAAUUUCUAAUACCUAACAGUCGUGUCUUCGUAAACCCUCUGGGCAGUGGAAACUGGCCAUUUAUGUACAAUGUUUGCUCAGUCUGUUUCCUUUGCAGGACAUGUAACUAUAACGGGGCCUUGGGGAAGGUUUUCUAGGGGAAAGGACAGGGAAGUGGAGGAGGAGACAAACGGGGGGAAAAGCGUUCCAGACCCAAGAGGAUAAUAUGGUUAACUGAGUGAGGUUGUGUAGUAUAGAUAUGGCCAUCAGUAGUUCAGAAUAAUAAAUUGUAAUGGUUGGGUCCCAGUUAUAGCAAUAAACAGUAUAGUUUUUUUUAUGUCAAGAUUUACCUGUGAUCAAACUCAUUCUUUUACUCUCUUUAUCAAGAGAUUCUGCCCUUAGGAGCAUAUUAAUAGUUCCAAUGAUACAUAAAUUGGUGAUUUUUGACUUCUGAAAAAGGUGACAAUUAUUAUAGUUGGAGAAUAUUUGUCAAGAACUCAAAGGUUAAUUGUUAUAAUUGAGUUAUCAGAAUUAUAUGGAGGAGAGAGUAUCCAUUGUCAGAUACUACAGUUGAAUCAACCUUGUGGAUUGUUACAAAGGCAUUUUUAAGAUUUUUAAGAUAGUGUUUUGUUAGGUUGUGUCUCAGUCUAAGAGUUGGAUGACUAAGAGCUAUAGGGUUCUGUUUAUUAGCGUGGAUUUCAGUAAACACAAGCCUACCUCUAUUUCUUUGAUGCACAAUAGUGUGGAUCAUGAAAUGAACUGUUUAAUCUACAUUCAUCAAUAUUGGUAUUUUCUGAAUCUGUUUAGAGCAUUUGAUUUCAUCUUAACAAUUGUGAUUCAAUUAAAUAAGCACAAAUACAAUAUUAGGGAAAGUAAAUAUGCAAUCUUAUUAAAAUUUAAUUUCAACCUAUUAUAAGCUGUACAUCUUAAAAAAAUUCUUUGGGAAGAUAUUCCUCUUUUGUUAGAAGUUCAUAAAAUGUAUCAUUAUAUAGUUUCCCUCAUAGCACUAAUAUAAGCCAUUUCUUCAAUAAAAAAUGUUGAAAAUUAUAUUAUCUUCUUUGGAAAAAGUUUCCUAAAUUUUUAAAAAUUAUAAAGUUUUACAUAUUAUUUUUCAGAGCUUAUUUAAUCUACUUUAAAAUAAUACUAUGGUAAAGGUGUUUUUUUGGAAGUUGUAAAGCACUAACACAAAUAUAAUUUUUACCAUCAUAUUCCAGAGCAAAACGUCUGGCUUUUCCUGAACUUUCACUUUAGUACACGUACAUGAGAAGGGAGACCUGCCCUCCUUCUCAGAUCCGAAGCUCAGCUUCUCUAAUGAAAACUCUCCCAUUCUGCUCUACCACAUGAACACACACCUCUGAAGUGCCAUGUUCAUGGGAGCUUUGGGAAAUGUUUUCCACAAAUGUUUCAUUUUUUUCCCUUUGUAUAGCAGGUGAACAUUUAAUUUUACUUAAAGGUGACAAUUUCAACCUCCGACAUUAGAGAAGAGGUACAUUUAAAAAGUAUUUUUUUCUACUGCCUUUGAAAAGUACAGUUGCUCUCAGUGAUAUUGGUGGCGUCAGUAUGAAUCCAUAGAAAAAGAAAACCUGUGUGUAAAGGUCUUAAAAUGUAUUGUUUAAAAGAAGUAACACAUGAAUUUUAAUUUGGAAAAAAAUCUAUAUAAAUUUAAAGUACUAUUAUGCUAACAUGGUAUAGUUUUAAAUGUAAGAGUAAAAAAAGUAAGUCCUUUUAGACCACCUAUUUAAAUUCACUCCAUUAAUCUUAAGGAUGGAUAGUAGCCGUCUUAUUGACUUGAAAGUUAUACUUUAGGGACUAUUAUCAGUGUUAAAUCCUUGAUUUUGUGGAGCUUUAAUUGAUGGAGGUGAAAAAUUUGGGGUUUAUAAGAGCGGUGGGGAAUGGUAGUGAAAUGAACAUCAACAUAUUUUAGAAAAAGGAACUUCUUUAGUCUUGCCUCAAGCAAACCAGAUGUAUCCAUUGCUUAAAAUCUUUUAGAAUGCUUAUGUUAAAGCCAUAAUUUUGUUUUAGGUAGUACUAAAUAAUUACUUCAAUAGUAAAUAAGAGAUGCACAUAAUCAUUAAAUUAACAUGAUAAAUGAAGAUAAAACACUGGCUGGGAGACUGGGGUUUUACUUCUAGUUGGUGAAUUAGCUGUGUGACACCUUAGGCCAUUACUUAGCUUUUAACCUGUUUCCUCUUCUGAGUAUACAGCAUGGAGCCUGUACUACUCAAAAUGUUGAUUUUGUUUAAAAUCAUCUUUAAGCUAUAUAAAACUACGAUUCUAGGCCACAUAAUGGGGUAUUUUUUAAAGUUGCUCCUACUUAAUUCUCUUUUAUCUUAAUUCUCUUAAUUUCCUUUCUUAAUGGUUCAUUUCACACUUAAGAGCCUUUGCUAAAAGAUAAUUAUUUAUUAAGCAUCCGUUUCCUGGGUCACCCACAGUCUUUGUUCUCCUAAGGAUUAAGGUAGAAAAUUCACACAGAUGAGCAAAUGAGGACGUUUUUCUAAACACCUCUUGCUAAACCACUGAACAUAUGAAUACAUCAGAACAUUGUCAUUCAUUCAUUUAUCCAUUCAUUUAGCAAACCAUUUGAACAUUUACUGUGCAGUGUGUGGUAUACUUAAGGAACUAGUAAUAAGUAAACAAAAUCCUCUCUUCCCCCCAUUUUUGAUUGUGGCUUGAACAAACAUGGAUGUAAUUAUUAUUACUUAAUGUACUGAAUGUAAAGUUGGAACUGAGAGGGAAUUUUUAUGCAUUGGGUAAAGGAUUAGGCUAUGUGAUAUCUAAGGGAGCUGAGUGAAUCACAUCAUAAUUCCUGUAAAACAUUUUGCAUACUAAUCCAUAUAUCUGAUUAGGUUACAAAAUUAAAGGUACCUAAUAUUAGGAUUUAUAUUUUGAAACUGUUGUGACAGCCCAUAUUUCUCAGAAUUAUUUUGACACUUGAAUCUAUUCCAGAGGUGUUGCUAUAUGCAGGGUGUGUGACAGAACAAUACAAAGAAGCUGGUGCUGAUUUACUAUACGUUUUGAACUACACCCAGUAUUGACAGUGCAGUAACUUUUGAAAACUGAAAAAUCUCAGAAGAGCUUGCUGAACAGGACUUUCAUAUUAUUAAAACCUCAAACACUGACCCAACCAGGAUGAACAAAGAAUCACCAAGGGGAAAGAAAACAUUUUUUUAUCUUUACAAAAAACAAAUGUUAAGAUUAUAUAUAGAUGUAUUCUUUAUGUUGGAUAUUGUACUAGAGUCCUCCUUGCAGGGAAUGAAAUAGUUUUAGCACUCUUAGCAUUAGCGGUCCUAGAUUGGUGUCUAUAGCUGCAGUUUUAAAAUGUAUAACCUGACAAUGAAGUUAAUUUUGCAUUAUGAGAGCACACCAUGAUCUAUGUAAAAAGAUUGUCCAUUUGGUGUAUUUUUUUAAAAAAGAGAAAGCACUUUCAUAUUAACAGUAGCAUGUGUAUGAAUUUUAGAUUUUCAUAUUUGUUGUGUCUGUAUUCAGUGAAGUAAAAUUGAACAUUUCAAAUGUUUGUUGAUGGCAACAUUAACUGUUAAAUUAAAGCACCUUAUACUCUGCUGCUUAAACUUGCUUGUAAUUGCACCUUUGUUACCUGCACAUUUUCACAUAGAAUAUUGUUGUAACAUUGCUUCAUGUGGGUCUGGAUGGAAGGUUAGUGGGCCUACAGGAUCAUUUAUUUAUAUUGUUUAUAUUACAAUAAUAUAUUGUAGACCAGUUGUAAGUUCAUUUCUUUACAAAUAAAAGCCUCUUCCAUUUGGCUGGUAAACU